rnacentral:lncRNA from 1 species
GGCAAUUCCAACAUCCUGAAUUCUUAGUGUUUAGGUCCGUUUCCCUCCUCUUUCUCCACCUCCUUUCCUCUUUUUCAGGAUACAGAAAUUAGGAUAGGGUAUAAGGAAAGGAGGUGAAGACUUAAAAUCUCGAAAUAUCGCAACUUCUGAAAAUGGAAACAAAAUGAUUUUAUUUUUUGUUUGCUUCUUUGGGAUCUUCUGUUCAUUUUUGGAAAAAAUUGAACGUCUGCCUAUUCCAUGGCAAAUACCUUUUUUUUGUUUCCCCACAGCUGAAAUGAAUACCCAUGCGUGAGAAGCAAUGAUGGUGUCUUGUGGAAAGCUUGCGCUCGCCGAGGCUGGAAAAUCCUUCAAAGAAAGGCUCUGGUGAUCCUGGGCAAUAAGGAAUUACCAUGCUGAUGGUGGAUCAAACCAAGACAAGCAGACAGCGGUGGAUGAAUGGGAGAAAUGAGCUGUGAUGAGCACGGAAGACUUCCAAUGUCUCUACAAAUUGUCAGCCUGACCUCUCUCUGCACCUGUCCUAUUUGGAGGAUGACAUUUUCAAAAACAGCCCAUAAAUUCAUGGCUGCAAAAGCCCUCAGAAGCAAAAAUGGAGUGAUAACCACCCGCCUAUUUCUGGACUCGCAAACCAGGUAACUCGUCAUGAGAAGCCACCUGUGUUUGUGUGUGUGCUCAUUCCCAUGUGUACCCAAACUCCUGGUUGAAGCUGCACCUUUGAAAUCACUCUUACAGAAGGCAAUUUAAUUUCAAGAAACUGUACCAGGAGCAGCAGAAGGAAUAAAGGCUGCUUUCCAAGGUUGCUGUGACUCUCU